GGCGGCAGGCUUAACACAUGCAAGUCGAGCGGUAGCAGAUCUAGCUUGCUAGAUGCUGACGAGCGGCGGACGGGUGAGUAACGCGUAGGAACCUGCCCAGUAGUGGGGGAUAGCCCGGGGAAACUCGGAUUAAUACCGCAUACGCUCUACGGAGGAAAGAGGGGGCUUCGGCUCUCGCUAUUGGAUGGGCCUGCGUGAGAUUAGCUAGUUGGUGAGGUAAUGGCUCACCAAGGCGACGAUCUCUAGCUGGUCUGAGAGGAUGAUCAGCCACACUGGGACUGAGACACGGCCCAGACUCCUACGGGAGGCAGCAGUGGGGAAUAUUGCACAAUGGGCGCAAGCCUGAUGCAGCCAUGCCGCGUGUGUGAAGAAGGCUUUCGGGUUGUAAAGCACUUUCAGUGGGGAGGAAGGCCUUGUAGUUAAUAGCUGCGAGGAUUGACGUUACCCACAGAAGAAGCACCGGCUAACUCCGUG
rnacentral:rRNA from 1 species